UUACUGCUCUGAUGAUGGUUAAGGCACGCAGCCUUCCUUGGUGCAACGAAGCCAGAAGACAAGAUGUGCUGGGAGUAGAAAUCUUCUCCCUGUGGAAUCAGUGAGCUGAAAGAACAUUGAGAAAGCAGGAGAGCUAAGAAGAAAUGGGACAGCUAUCUCUGACCUUCUGCACAAGAACAAAUCUCCCGUUGUGAAUAAUAUUUAAUAAUUGGUUCAGUUUUCCCAGCCUUGCCUUCCAGGGAAUUUUCCUGCACUGGUAGAAUAAUCAGAUACAAGUUGGAGGGAAAGAUGCCCUGUGGGAGCUGCUGCUAAGUCCCAGAUUCUUCUUAGACGCUCAGAAUUUGAUGACUUUGGCGCUGGGCCACAGAAGUCAUGAGCUUCUCCAGGCACAGCUUGUUUGGCCUGGUGAUGUGAGAGGAAGGAAGCAAGCUGGGAUCUCAUCAGGUGUCCUUCCUGCUGUCAGCCUUUUAGAACACGGGUGACUCUGUGCUAUCAGAUGGGAUUAUUUUUAAAAUGUAUUUUUUUGUUUUUGUUUUUGUUUUGAGACGGAGUCUCACUCUGUAGCCAGGCUGGAGGGCAGUGG
rnacentral:lncRNA from 10 species